rnacentral:rRNA from 1 species
UACAGAGGUCUCAAGCGUUGUUCGGAUCAUUGGGCGUAAAGGGUGCGUAGGUGGCCUGGUAAGUCAGGGGUGAAAGACGGUAGCUUAACUAUCGCAGUGCCUUUGAUACUGCCGGGCUUGAAUAAACUAGAGGUAGGCGGAAUGUGACAAGUAGCGGUGAAAUGCAUAGAUAUGUCACAGAACACCGAUUGCGAAGGCAGCUUACUAUGGUUUCAUUGACACUGAGGCACGAAAGCGUGGGGAGUCAAACAGGA